GUGUGCAAUCUAAAACAGUGAUCUUAAAUACAACUGCGUCAGAUUUGCGAAUUAUUUAUCCUUUUCUGAAGCCUUCUGGUCCUAGAUGCUCGAAAAUAUUAAAUACUUUUAAAAAGAAUAACUUACUAAUUUUCAUUUCCUGGUGGGCUCAAUUUGUGUCUUUCAGUUAAUCGAAUAGGUUAGAGAACACCAUCUUAUAUUGUCAGUAGGUACAUUAAACUAUGUUGACUUAGUGACAAACUUAAUUUGAUCACUCCAAUUUAAAGAAAAAAACCUUUCGAUGUGUAUCUUUUAUCCUAUGCAAAAGUGGCUUCUUUUUAUUAUUUCGUUUCCAUCACUCACGGUAUGUUAUUUUUCUUGUCAUAUGAAAUGGGUACAUAUAUGUAUGAUAGCACUAUCACGAACCUAUUACCAGUAUAGGUUAAACAAUUAUUUAUAAGUCAGUGAUAUUAUUUAUAAAUGUUCUAUAACAUUGUGUAUUGACUUAAUACUUCGUAAAAAAAUAAGCUCAACAAUCAUUCUUUGUUUCAGAAUUCAUCCAUUUCAAAUGAUUCUUUGAAAAGGAGCCAUUAUCUCGGAUCACUUAUUGUCAGGGUUUAGGAGCUGUAGCUAAAACCAGUGACGAAAUUCGUUUACACUCUUAAAUUGUGCUCAGUUACAUUGAACAUCUGCCAUAACUGAAUGAUAGCUUUACAUUGAUAAAUAAGAAGUAAAUAUAUCCAAAUACUAUUGCAAGGGGUAUUUUUUUUGCAAAAGUGUAUAGCCCUUCACGCAAUUCAUGAUAGUUUAAAAACUCAUGUCUUGAAUGACACUAUCUUUGAUCUACCUGUUUGCAUGUUUUUGUUCGUUUAUCAAAUAUACGCAUGUACUUUGCUUAUCAAUAUCAUGUCCACGUGUUUGUGAAUGGAGGAUAAAGAUACUGUAAUAAUGUUUCAAAGAUGAAUAUCGUUAAACACGUUGAUUAAAUAUUAACAUAUUUUUAAAUCACAUUUAUGAGAGUUAGGCGAAGAUUUUGUGAUGGAUUUUAUAUUUGCUACUGUACAAUAGGGGAGGUUACUGCGUAGGAGACGAACAUUUUCUUAAACCGGUUUAGCAUCAAAUCAAGUAGGACCUACUCCGGUGACCUCAGACGAACAUUCGUGUAAAAAAUGGAUUGAAAUGGACAAUCAUAAACUUUUGGGCUAUGGACUUAUUGAAGACAACUGUAUGGAGAUAAACAGAAACACAGAGGUGCUAUACUUUCUGAUGGAAAAGACAACAAAAGCAUCUCCCAUCAUUUUGGCGUGGCUCAGAUCAAGAGGAGAAAUUUAAAAAAGGUGAUGGUUGGGCACAAACAAGAAGACAUAGAUCACAGGCGUAUAGCAUAUGAGUAGACAGGAGUUUCACACUCUGCCAGACUUACUUCCUCAGACGAGCAGAUUUAGGCUUCUCAAGAUCACGCACUGCACACUAAGACAUAGUCUUUGACCACUACAACAAGGCCUUAGGGGAUGAAAGUACAGAGGGGUCCAAUUGAAAUCAAUUCUGUGCUGCAUCAUUUCUUUAUUCUAGAGGUUGAUGGACAUGAUUUAUGGCAUCAAGUGUGCAGUUUGUCAACUAACUAUCAACACAGCAGUCUUGUUCACCAGCUGCUCAACUUGAGCUUUUAGCUUUAUUGCUUGAAGCCACUGUAUAAGAGGAGGGAAGGUGCAGACUCAUCAAAAAGUCUCAAGGUUGAAACUAGGAAGAGAAGUUUGUCAAGAGUGUGAAUAUUUGCUUUGAAAACAAUUGUUACAAUGAUUUGGUUUCCUUUGAAACUUGAUACAUACUAUGUGUAUGUUGAAUGAAUUGAGAUGCUUAAAUAAAGAACCACUAUUCAAAUAUCAGGAAACUGCAUUUUUCAUACUAAAUUGGUAAAUGAUGUCACCAUUUCCUGUAUGUAUUUAGAUAAGAUAUGUUUCCACAAUUAAUAUUUUUAGGGACUAUUUCUCAACGUAAUGAAAUAGAUUAAAUUUGUACAGCGUUAUAUGAGCUUAAUAUGUGUUUUCUGUUUCCUUGAAAUUGAUGAAAAAUUGUCAGAAGGUAAUGAGACCAGUAUCCAUUACUGCAAUUAUACAAUAAAAAAUACAGGGACAAGCCCACUGCUCAUAUAAUAUGAUUAAACCUUGUUUAGGGGCAUGAGGCAAACAGAGUUACUUUCAAAUGUUAAAGAUGCACUCUCACACUUUGGAUGUUUUGACAACUGUUUUCAUUUUUAGCUCUACUGGCCAAAGGCCAGAAGAGCUUAUGCGAUGGUAAUGUGUACGUAGUAUGUGCGUCUGUAAACAAUCCUCGUUUACAUGAUACAGCCUACAGUUCCUUUCGAAAACCAGCCAGAUCCGCCCAUGUAUGCCUAGUUUAUGGGCCUUGAUAGUAUACAAAAAUCAGUGUGUCAGUAGGCAAUUGCUCGUUAACAUGAUACAGCCUUUUUGAUUGUAUCUCAAUGAAACUUGUACAGUAUCUACAUAUCCAUAUGAGCUCGGUUCCUUUCGAAAACCAGCCAGAUCCGCCCAUGCAUGCCAAGAUUAUGGGCCUUGAUAAUAAAAAAAAAUAGUGUGUCAGUAAACAAUUGCUCGGUAACACGAUACAGUCUUCAGUUUUGAUUGUAUCUUGAUGAAACUUGUCCAGUAUAUCCAUUAGAGCUCAGUUCCUUUCAAAAACCUGAUCUGCCCAUGUUUCCUGGAUUAUUGGCCUUGAAAUUAUUAGAUGAUGGGCCUUGAUAGUAUAAAAAAUGCUAUUUUGUAAUAAAUGCUUGCGAAUAUGAUACAGUCUUCAGUUUUGAGUAUUCAGAUACCCAUAAGGCGUUGGUUCUUUUCGAAAACAGUGAUGUUGACCACACAAACCCAGCCAGUAGAGCAUAGGCCCUUUUGGGCCUCUUGUUUGUUUUGGAUUGGUACCAUCCAGUCUUUGCGAAAAAUGCAUGGAAACCAGUAAUAUAAGACUACUGACAAAAAAUUCAAUUGCAGACUUUUUUAUUUAAGUUAAAACAUUGAUGUUUUAUGCACUUUUCUUAAACCGUUAGUAACAUUAAUCUUUGAAGGAAAUAUGAAAUCUGGGAUUUGAUGUUUUGUCAGCAAUCUUUUACCAUUGGUUUGCUGAUAUUUACGCAAAAAUUUGCUCAUUCCAAGACAAAACAAAAGUUGUUAAAACGGUAUAUCUGUGAGAAUGCAGCUCUAAAUGUUUUGGCAAACAUGUUUUUGAUUUGGCAGCACAAUCUAUCUUGAACAUUGCUUGAUUUUACUGCUGUAUUAGAAAUUACAGGGGUAAUGGGGGAUUUUUUUUAGUGUUUUUAUUGCUCUUUGUGAUUCAUACAGUCAUACUUCAUUCCCCAGGGCACAACUUACAAAUAGACAGAACAGGAAAAUGGUCAUUUUAAAAGGUCAAGGACAAUGCAAGUUGAACAAUCAUAUUGUUCAUGGCUUGUAUUUUUGGUAUAUUUUGUUGCAUAUAUGCUAUAAAAAAGUUGAAAGUUAAAAAUAACUUCAUAGUUAAAAUGAUGGCUUUGAAUGGUUUUGUCAGUUGAGAAACAGCACUAUUAAGAAAUAUGUUAAUGGUACUUUAUUAUUUUAAUCAAUUUUAGAUAUUUGUAUGAAAAUUAUUAUCUUAUUUUGUACAUGAGACCUUUUAAACAGUUAUUUAUAAUUUAACAAUGUGUAAAUGAUCAAAACUUAAAGCUGCACUUUCACAGAUUGUCAUUUUAGACACUUUAAAAAUUUUGUCUCAAAAGCUGAUUUGGUUAUCAUUCCUUUAAUUCAGUCAUAUUAGAUAAUUCACAAUAGAACCAAUCAAAAAUGUUUGGUAAGACUGCCGAAAAGUUCAUUUACAUUAAAUUGUUCGUAAUGCUACUAUACACAUAAAACAUCAUUUUAGCCAUAAAUAUGACAAAAUGCAAUCUGAUCUUAUUUCAGAAGUCUUAUAUCACUUAAAAUUGGGUCUAUAGAUGCAAAAAAUGGUCUAUUUAUAGACCAACAAUAAAAGAGUGCCGGUAGUCAAAACGAUCAAUUAGUGAGAUUGCAGCUUUAAAUACACCUUUUUCAGUCCGCUGUAAAAUUCCAAUGGUUUGCCUCAAUCUUUAAAGCUAGCAUACUGUUUAAUUGACAGCCAUACUUUUUGUUUAAAAGUGUCAUGAUAUGUUUGUACAAUGUGUUUAUAUAAUUCAUUAAAGAAGUCAA